rnacentral:rRNA from 1 species
UACGAAGGGUGCUAGCGUUGCUCGGAAUUACUGGGCGUAAAGCGCACGUAGGCGGCUUUCUAAGUCGGGGGUGAAAUCCCGAGGCUCAACCUCGGAACUGCCUUCGAUACUGAUGAUCUUGAGUCCGGGAGAGGUGAGUGGAACUGCGAGUGUAGAGGUGAAAUGCGUAGAUAUUCGCAAGAACACCAGUGGCGAAGGCGGCUCACUGGCCCGGUACUGACGCUGAGAUACGAAAGCGUGGGGAGCAAACAGG